GGACAAUUUUGUGACAUUUUUAUUGCGGGGCAAGAAACAACUGCUAAUCAACUGGCUUUCUGCAUAUAGGAACUCGGGAGGACAUCCUAUGACAUUCUGGAGAAAGUGAAGAAGGAGGUGGAUGACGUUGUUGGGAUGAAACAGGGUCAGUAUGAUGAUCUGGGGCAACUGGUCUACCUCUCACAGGUAC